GGGUGUGAGGGUGAUCUGGCUGUGGCGUCUAUUGCCCCACUGAUUGAACAUCAGGGUCGAUUCAGCUGAUCUGGCUGGCCAGGCAGGUGUCCCCUUCCUCCCUCACUGCUCCGUGUGCGUCCCUCCCGAAGCUGCAAAGUUGAGGUUGAGGAGGAUGACCACCCUAGGUCAAGGGUAUACAAGUAGCUGUGCUUCCCUGCGAGAACCUUCAAACGAGCUCUCAAAGUAUGGGCUAAAGAAUCACUAGAGAUACUCAAAAUCUUUUCAGCCUGGGUGGCAACAAAA
rnacentral:snRNA from 1 species